UGUGGGAGCGAGCUUGCUCGCGAUGACGGAGUGUCAGUCGACAUUUUCGGUGUCUGACACACCGCCAUCGCGAGCAAGCUCGCUCCCACA
rnacentral:misc_RNA from 1 species